rnacentral:rRNA from 1 species
GGCCUAUCAGCUUGUUGGUGAGGUAAUAGCUCACCAAGGCGAUGACGGGUAGCGGGUGUAAGAGCAUGACCCGCCUCACUGGGACUGAGACACUGCCCAGACUCCUACGGGAGGCUGCAGUCAAGAAUCUUCCUCAAUGGACGAAAGUCUGAAGGAGCGACGCCGCGUGUAUGAAGAAGCCCUUCGGGGUGUAAAAUACUUUUAUCAGGGAAGAAUCCAUGACGGUACCUGAUGAAUAAGGGGCUGCUAACCUCGUGCCAGCAGCAGCGGUAAUACGAGGGCCCCAAGCGUUAUCCGGAUUUAUUGGGCGUAAAGCGUCCGUAGGUGGUUUAUCGCAUCUCCUGUUAAAUCCCAAGGCUCAACCUUGGGGCAGCGGGAGAGAUGGAUAAGCUAGAGACCGGAAGAGGCAAACGGAAUUGCUGGUGUAGGGGUUAAAUCCAUUAAUAUCAGCAGGAACACCAAAUGCGAAGGCAGUUUGCUAGGACGGUUCUGACACUAAGGGACGAAAGCGUGGGGAGCGAAUAGGAUUAGAUACCCUAGUAGUCCACGCCGUAAACGAUGGAUACUAAGCAUUGGCAGUAUCGACCCUGCCAGUGCUGUUAAUUUAAGGUAACCCGUUAAGCAUCCCGCCUGGGGAGUACGG